CGCGGCCUAUCAGCUUGUUGGUGGGGUAAUGGCCUACCAAGGCGGCGACGGGUAGCCGGCCUGAGGGGGUGGACGGCCACAUUGGGACUGAGACACGGCCCAGACUCCUACGGGAGGCAGCAGUGGGGAAUAUUGCACAAUGGGCGCAAGCCUGAUGCAGCGACGCCGCGUGGGGGAUGACGGCCUUCGGGUUGUAAACUCCUUUCGCCCGGGACGAAGCCCACCUGGUGGGUGACGGUACCGUGGAGAAGAAGCACCGGCUAACUACGUGCCAGCAGCCGCGGUAAUACGUAGGGUGCAAGCGUUGUCCGGAUUUACUGGGCGUAAAGAGCUCGUAGGUGGUGUGUCGCGUCGUCUGUGAAAUUCCGGGGCUUAACUCCGGGCGUGCAGGCGAUACGGGCACGACUAGAGUGCUGUAGGGGUAACUGGAAUUCCUGGUGUAGCGGUGAAAUGCGCAGAUAUCAGGAGGAACACCGAUGGCGAAGGCAGGUUACUGGGCAGUUACUGACGCUGAGGAGCGAAAGCAUGGGGAGCGAACAGGAUUAGAUACCCUGGUAGUCCAUGCUGUAAACGGUGGGCGCUAGGUGUGGGCUGUGUGUUUGCAGUCUGUGCCGUAGCUAACGCAUUAAGCGCCCCGCCUGGGGAGUACGG
rnacentral:rRNA from 1 species